ACGGUCCUAAGGUAGCGAAAUUCCUUGUCGGGUAAGUUCCGACCUGCACGAAUGGCGUAAUGAUGGCCAGGCUGUCUCCACCCGAGACUCAGUGAAAUUGAACUCGCUGUGAAGAUGCAGUGUACCCGCGGCAAGACGGAAAGACCCCGUGAACCUUUACUAUAGCUUGACACUGAACAUUGAGCCUUGAUGUGUAGGAUAGGUGGGAGGCUUAGAAGUGUGGACGCCAGUCUGCAUGGAGCCGACCUUGAAAUACCACCCUUUAAUGUUUGAUGUUCUAACGUUGACCCGUAAUCCGGGUUGCGGACAGUGUCUGGUGGGUAGUUUGACUGGGGCGGUCUCCUCCUAAAGAGUAACGGAGGAGCACGAAGGUUGGCUAAUCCUGGUCGGACAUCAGGAGGUUAGUGCAAUGGCAUAAGCCAGCUUGACUGCGAGCGUGACGGCGCGAGCAGGUGCGAAAGCAGGUCAUAGUGAUCCGGUGGUUCUGAAUGGAAGGGCCAUCGCUCAACGGAUAAAAGGUACUCCGGGGAUAACAGGCUGAUACCGCCCAAGAGUUCAUAUCGACGGCGGUGUUUGGCACCUCGAUGUCGGCUCAUCACAUCCUGGGGCUGAAGUAGGUCCCAAGGGUAUGGCUGUUCGCCAUUUAAAGUGGUACGCGAGCUGGGUUUAGAACGUCGUGAGACAGUUCGGUCCCUAUCUGCCGUGGGCGCUGGAGAACUGAGGGGGGCUGCUCCUAGUACGAGAGGACCGGAGUGGACGCAUCACUGGUGUUCGGGUUGUCAUGCCAAUGGCACUGCCCGGUAGCUAAAUGCGGAAGAGAUAAGUGCUGAAAGCAUCUAAGCACGAAACUUGCCCCGAGAUGAGUUCUCCCUGACUCCUUGAGAGUCCUGAAGGAACGUUGAAGACGACGACGUUGAUAGGCCGGGUGUGUAAGCGCAGCGAUGCGUUGAGCUAACCGGUACUAAUGAACCGUGAGGCUUAACCUU
rnacentral:rRNA from 2 species